ACGGAAGGCAGCAGUGAGGAAUAUUGGUCAAUGGGCGGAAGCCUGAACCAGCCAAGUCGCGUGAAGGAUGAAGGUAUUAUGUAUUGUAAACUUCUUUAGACGCAGAGAAAUAAGAGGGUCGUGACCCUUGAUGCUAGUAUGCGUAGAAUAAGGAUCGGCUAACUCCGUGCCAGCAGCCGCGGUAAUACGGAGGAUCCGAGCGUUAUCCGGAUUUAUUGGGUUUAAAGGGUGCGCAGGCGGGGCGCUAAGUCAGCGGUGAAAGGCGACGGCUCAACCGGAGCAGUGCCGUUGAUACUGGUGUCCUUGAAUGCGGUCGAGGCCGGCGGAAUGUGGCGUGUAGCGGUGAAAUGCAUAGAUAUGCCACAGAACCCCGAUAGCGAAGGCAGCUGGCCGGGCCUGCAUUGACGCUGAGGCACGAAAGCGUGGGGAUCGAACAGGAUUAGAUACCCUGGUA
rnacentral:rRNA from 1 species